ACACGUAGGGGGCGAGCGUUGUUCGGAAUUACUGGGCGUAAAGGGCAUGUAGGCGGCUUGGUAAGCCUGGCGUGAAAGUCUGCAGCUUAACUGUAGGGAUGCGUUGGGAACUGCUUAGCUUGAGUUACGGAGAGGGAGCUGGAAUUCCUGGUGUAGGGGUGAAAUCUGUAGAUAUCAGGAAGAACACCGAUGGCGAAGGCAAGCUUCUGGCCGACAACUGACGCUGAGGUGCGAAAGUGUGGGGAUCAAACAGGAUUAGAUACCCUGGUAGUCCACACAGUAAACGAUGUGCACGAGGUGCUGGGGCGGUAGUUUCAGUGCCGGAGCGAACGCGGUAAGUGCACCGCCUGGGGAGUAUGCUCGCAAGGGUGAA
rnacentral:rRNA from 1 species